rnacentral:pre_miRNA from 1 species
GAGGCACCCUUAUGGAGCAGGACUUGCUUUAGUGGGACUUUGCUGUUCGCUGAGUCUGCCCCUUGAGUGUAUCACU